CUGGACCAAAAAGCAAACAAUUGAUGGUCGAGUUGAAUCUUGGCGAUCUUGUUGGACAACCAUAUGGUACUCAUCGUCAUUAUAGUGUAAAUGGAAUGGCCAUAACUGUGGGAGUGGGCAAUGCCAUCUCUGAAGAAGGUUAUUCCCUGUUGAUGUCACCAGCAGCUGCAGGAUCUGUUUGGAAAACUCUUCUAUCACAGGGUGCUAUUCCAAUGGGUUCUAAUGCUUG
rnacentral:misc_RNA from 1 species